GGGAGGAGGACCAGAGAGGGACUGCUGGGAGACAACAUGGCUGGGGAGGAGGACCAGACAGGGACUGCUGGGAGACAACAUGACUGGGGGAGGAGGACCAGAGAGGGACUGCUGGGAGACAACAUGGCUGGGGGAGGAGGACCAGAGAGGGACUGCUGGGAGACAACAUGGCUGGGGGAGGAGGACCAGAGAGGGACUGCUGGGAGAUAACAUGGCUGGGGGAGGAGGACCAGAGAGAGACUGCUGGGAGACAACAUGGCUGGGGGAGGAGGACCAGAGAGGGACUGCUGGGAGAUAACAUGGCUGGGGGAGGAGGACCAGAGAGGGACUGCUGGGAGACAUCUCUCUUUACCCUCUCAUCACUAACAGACACGUAAUUGUCCCCCAUCACAAUUUGCCUGCAAUCCCCUUGUAGAUCCUCCAGUCCUGUAUACAUUUCUCCAACACAACUAUACUUCAUACUAUUCAGCCACAGCCAUCCAUCCAACCAGAAACAGCCAGUCUCUGCUCAGCGAAGACUCUUCACGCCCAUUUGUAACCAAAAAUGUUUUUUUUUUUUUUUACAUAGGGUGAUAUUUUGCCUGAGCAAUUGGCAGUGACCAAAAUAACCAUAACAUAUUUUUAAUUAGAUGGGCAGUCCUCAAAGAUGAAAUUCCAUUGAAUCAUAUGAUUAGAUCCAUUGAUUUCCAGCCCGUAGGGUUGGAUGCCACUAAUCUCAUUAUAAUGUACCAUUGUGUAGGGCAGAGCAGGUGCUAGUCAUCCACGGUGAUGUUAUAGUAUAACCUGUUAUAUUGGUUUCAGAGUCGAGCACUGAUAGGGUGUGGUUGCAUUAGCAGGACAUAAAUACUCACCCAAGUAAACAUAUUACACAUUUGAAGACAGCUGCAUGAAAGGAUCAGCACGUAAUAGGUGAUUGAAAGCACUGUCUGUUUGGUGUUACAUACUGCACUCACCAGUCAAGCAACCAGCGGCAAACUGAAAACAGGGAAAGAAAAAACAAAACAUGAACACUUUAUAUGAGAAAACAUUCUCAAAAGAACACAUGAGUAUAGAGCUAUUGAAAAUGGAAACAUCAUUACAAGAUCAUAAAUACCUUCAUAAAAACAUCCCGGAGUACCCUGAAAAUGUGGAAUUCCACAUAUCCAAUGUUUCCCAUGUUACUAACCAAGCAGGCCUGGAUGGGAUCCUGUCAGAUGGAUUUAAGGGUGGACAAAAAAGAGGUACUUACAUGUGGUGGGGUCUUAACAUUGACGACAUCAUUAUCAAGGAAGCGGAGAUGCGCUACCUUGAUAGGCAGAUCCCUAACAGGCACUCCUCAAGUCUCCAAACUGAAGAGAGGCAACCUCAGGAAUCAUUCCUGAAAAAGUUUACCACCUCCCCUGUCUUCCAAAAAGGAUCUCGGUACGGGAACUUUAAGUUCACCUUCCCCUUGGAGGAUCUCAUGCAGAUGUACACAGAGCAGAUCUGUGAAAAAAUGAAGCCUGUCCUGAGAGUCUAUGAAACUGUGGUUUACAAGCAGGAGAUCAUGUAUACAGUGGUUGUCCACAGUCCAAAGGUGACACAGUUUAAUCAGUUCCCACUUCUUGAAGGUGCUGAAGCUAUGUGUAGCUAUAGAGAGGGCACAAUUGUCUGGAACGCACAGGCUGUGUCUGAGACCCACAACUAUCAAUUGAUCAUAAAGGACAAUAUGAUCAAAGCCAAAAAGGUUAAAGAAGGCACACAUCAGUUUUUUGUGUGGGAUCAUGUGACACUAGCAUUUCACAUGCCUCAUGGCACUGCCCUACGUGUUGAUAGGAAGGACCUGAUUGAAAGCCUCAAAGCAUGUGAUAGUGUUGAACCGUUGUAUAGGAAAGCAGACCCAGUGAUGUCAUGUGAAACAGCAGCAAUCAUUGUUGAUUCUCUGAAUGCAAACGGGCUCUAACCAGCAAACAACCUAAUCAUGGAGUACUAUAGAGUACAAAAUAAAUAGAUCUUAACUUCUCAGGGGAGUUCUACCAUAUGGAAUUGUUUUAAAGUGGUCAUACCAUGAAUUAUUUAGCCAUUUGAUUUAGAAUUGUAGGACACCUUUAGGUAUAAAAAAACGCAAAAUAAAAUAAAGAUGGCAGCAAGCUGUUGAUGCUGAAAACUCCUUUCUUCUGAUGAAAAUAACCAAUUCAACAAGAAAACAGGAUUAUCAGCUACUUGCAGUUCUGAGCCUACCUGGAUAGUAAGGAGAUCCUGAGUGAAAUCGACAAGUAACAGCAGCUUUAUGGUACACAGGAAUAACAUACUCCAUUGUGAAUAAAUGCCCCUACCUUACAAAAUAACUAUAACCCAACUAAAAAAAGAAAGACUGAUUCAUCUACAGACACUGACAAUUUUCUUACCGUUGAAGUAGAGGCUAACGGUCUUGCAGGAAUCCAUGCAACACUUGAAAAGUUAUGUGAGGAGGUAACAGGGUUGAGGGAGUUUAGUCAGAGUGAAGACAAGACCAAGGGUCCCCGACCUAUCCUCACAACAUUUGAACACUACCAACAAAAGGAGCUGAUCAAAAGCAGGGGAACGGAGCUUAAAGGGACAACAUUUGAUUUCAAUUAACAAUCUCCCUUGGAGAUAAACAAACAUCACAAGAGACUGUGUCCUGUACAGAGGCAACAGAGGAGAGGGGUAAGGGCCUUUCUCCUUGUGGACAAACUCUUUAUAGAUGGACAACUCUUCUCAGACAGCUCCAUAAUACCAUGGCUGUUCUAAAUUCUACAUGGUCAUCAGGAUACGAAAACAAAAGCAGGUAUCUCUCUCUCUCUCUCUCUCUCUCUCUCUCUCUCUCUCUCUCUCUCUCUCUCUCUCUCUCUCUCUCUCUCUCUCAGAAUUGUUCUAUAAUCAAUGAUGUCUGUUUUGUGUAUCUUUUGUAUGUCUGUCUACAUACGUAUCUAUGUUUAGAACAAGCAAUGGGAAGAUAUCAGAACAGGGGCGUUGGGUGACACAUUUGUGUGGGGCACACACUUAUACAGGACACAUUUGUACUGUAGUGAAGCCGUCUCUAUAGUAAUGCAAUGUCUCUUUCAUAAUCACGUGAAACGUCAAUUACUACGGAAAUGCUGUGUAAAUGCUGUGUUUUUCUAUGAAAAUGAUAUUAAAUGUAACUGUGAUGCAACUAUGACGGUGAUACGAUAUGGAUUACAAUUGUCAUCUUGAGUAUGAAGGCUGCACUCACUUCAUGUUAUACACAUAGACACUCAUCACACACUAUAGUCUUACUCUUAUCCAGACAUCAUACACACUCUCACUAAAUCACAUACAAUUUCACACACAUCAACCUACUCAGAUCUACUUAGAUUCUUUGCUAUUAGGUUGACUGUUUCUUCCCAACGGUAAAUGGUGUAGCUGUUGUUGUUAAAUCAAUGGUUUGAUGGUAAUUAAAUAUUUAAUUAUGUUUAUUAGGUCAAUGAUUCUGAUUUGAAUGAUGUUCUUAAUGUGAUAAUACAAUAUAUUCUAAGCUUGAGCAUGUGGCUCUCAGCGUUGCAUCAAUGCAACUGUAACAAAACCAGAGAACUGCAAUAAGAUGACUGACAGUUGCUCUGGAUAAGAGCGUCUGCUAAAUCAGGGCUUCCCAACUAUUCCCCCCCCCAAGGGCCCUCUUUAUUUUAUAUUUGAAGACGCCCCCCCCUUUGAAUGAUUGUUUACUGAGAUAGUCAAUAUUAAAUACACUGCCAAAAGCUUAAAUACACCCCUCUAAUCCAGGAAAGUCUCGCGACCACCCAGGACACUUUGGAGCCCCACUAUGGGAAGGGGGGGGGGACCCCUAGGUUGGGAUUCCCUGUGCUAAAUGACCAGAAUGUAAAUAUAGUCUGAUAAAUAAUCAUGUUCAUCAUUCUACCUUUUUGUGUUGUAUUUAUAUUACUCUGCUUCCUCUUCCUCUUCAUUAAACUAGGAUUACAUAUUGUGUCUUGGAAUUUUACUCCCUUUCUGUUGUUUGAUAUAACUGAAUAAAUAUGAUGAAGCCUGUGCAA